UUGCCGAAAUGGGUAUGAAGACGCCUAUAGUUAUUUUGUAAAAAUCGUCAAUGGCUUUCUGGUAUUAUAGAAUUUAUUUUUUUUUUCAUUAAAUUUUAUUUUUACACGCAAGUUUGUUUUCCGUUCUCUAACUUCAAAAUUUUCGAUCUUUUCCUGACUUUGGUGUGUUUUGUCAUCGAAGCUUUGGCAACACUGCAUCUCUGUACGUGUGUUUAUUUGUUUGUAGCAUUCAUGUACAUAUAUAUGUCGGCCCUUCAUCCACUGCCCCCAAACGGUGAAUGAACUUUUCUCUUAUUGUUUUUAUUUUUGGCCGCUUUCCGCUAUCGUACGUAAUACUCAAUGCGCGCACACGCACACACACACACCUUUCACCGCCAGCCGCUCUUCGAUACACCACAGCAUGCCAACGCAACCGGCACGCAAACAACUCACACUCCUCUCUUUUUUUGCGCGCCAUAACUGGCGCUCACACUCCAAACACUCUUUUACACACGAACACCAACUCUUACUACACAAUUGAAUUCGGCAAUCGCGUGUUUUGCAAAACGAAGAGCGCCGCCCAAGUCAACCGAGCAGCAAAUGUGCUGACGAUGACGAUGACGGCAACGACGUAGACGACGACGACGGCGACGACAAUGAUCAAAGUUGGCGGUGUGUCGACAAUUCAAUACAACUUUGUCAUUUCUGUUGCUCACGUUGCACAGAUACGCCGCUCUGACGCUCUUUGCGCUUGUUUUCUUAGAGAGAUCUGUGUGUACAUUGCCGCCGCAAAUUAAAGUUGUCGUUGGUGUCGGUGUCGUCGUCGUCGUCGUCAUCAUCAUCGUUGUCAUAUACUUCGACGCCGUUGUUGUCACCUUCUUCUUGCACGCUGUCGUUGCCGCUGCCAUUGUCGUCUACGAUAUUAUUAUUAUUAUUACUGUUGUUAUUUGCCGACGACGUUACCGCUGACACCACUAAGUGCGCGUAGUGCCCAGAUUCAUGCGUGAACGCGGAAAUUUCUUUGCUUGCGGCAAAAAGUUAAACGUUUUGCAUAAAAAUUUUCGUAAAAAAUUCAACAAAUUCAAAGUGAAUUUGUAGCAAAUGGAUGUGAAGAAUUGAAGAAGUAGGUGUUGGAAGUUAGGCCGAAGGCACUUAACAUAGGAGUUUCGCAUCAUUGCCGAAGUGGAUUAACGGCAUUCAGUGUGCACAAGGAAACGGAAGUGUAAAAAGCUCCAUUAGCGGCAGUCAGCUGUCGAGUUGGUUUGUCACUUCCAUAUAUACGCCAGCAGCGAUUGUGAAGAAAUUAUAACUGUGUGUAAAUUGCGGAAUUUUCAAGUGAGAAAUUUUUACGAAAAUAUUUCGAUUUAUGUCAGUGUAGUGAAGUGGCCUGAAUACUGGUGCGGCAAGGCAACGAAAGCUUGAAAAAUAAUAGAGAUCGAAACGAGAAUAUUACGCGGUGGCUCAUACAUGCAGAUAUUUGCGACCAAAGAAAGAGUUUAAAAAUAAUUUUUUGAAAAAUUAGUAAAAUUUUGUGAAAGAUUUCUGAAGUGAAAUGUAAACGGGCAUUUGUAGAAAUAUUUUCAGUGAAUGAAGGUGCAGUAAUGAGUCAAAAUGCCAGCGAGUGAAAUGCCAAUCGAAGCAAAAAGGAAGGGCUAAGAUGGCGUGGAAAGGCUGAAAUAAUUCAAAAUGCUUAAAUUUUAGAAAAGUUCAAUACAAAACAAAAGCUCAUGCAAUAGAAAGCAAAUUUAAUUAUCGAAUGAUUUGGCAAGUUGAGCUAAAAUAAUUUGCGAAAAAGCAAAGAAAUUUCAGAGUAAAAACGAAUUGAGUGAAGUAAAGCACAGAUUUUCAAAAGAUGAAAUUAAACGAAUUUGCAAGUUGAAUAAAUGUGCGAAAAAAUUUGCAAAAAGUGCAAAGAAGUUUUAAAGGAGUAAAUAAAAAAAAAUUAUACAAAACACGAUUUAAGUUCAAGAAUGUUGCAUAGCGGAUUUCGAAGAAUUUUAUACCACAACAAAAAGAAAAGAUAAAUUAAGUCAAGCAGUGUUGAAGGCGAGAAAAAUACAUACAUAUUUACAGUCCAUAUUAAAUAAUACAAAAAUGCAAAACCCCUAGCACAAACUGUGGCACUUAGAAAAGAGAAAAAUUUAUAGAAAACGAAAAUUUUUGAAGACUAAAAUUAGCAGAAAAUUUAUAAAAAACGAAAAGUUCUGAAGACUAAAAUAAGCAGAAAAUUUAUAGAAAAAUAAAGAGUUCUGAAGGAAAAUAAUAAUAAAAAAUCGCAGUGUUUGAAAAAGUGUCUGUAUCCACGUUAAAAAAUAAAUUUGAUGCCAAAAUUGUGACUACUGCAUUGAAUGUCAAAAAAAAAAUUUAAAAAAAAACACAGAAUAUUACAGAAAGAAAUUACACUAAAAUGUAUUGAAAAGCGUAAAAAAAGGAGUUAUAAAAAUUAAUAAGUAAUUCAAAGCAAAAUCAAUGCAUUUAGGAAGUCGACAGAAACCCCGCUGAAAAAACCAAAACAAGCGCAGUAAAAGUAGCAAAAAAUGCAGGCGAAAAAACCUUAAAAAUAAAUUUAACAUAUUUUAAAAUUAUAUGAAAAAGCUUUCGAAGUGAAAUUAAAAAUUAAAAAGUUUAAAAAAUUUUAAGCCAAAAAUUAAAUUUAAAAUACUGCACGAAAAAUGCACGCAACUCAAUGAAUAACAGUGAGCGCGCAUUGAAAGGCGCUGGCAAAAAUGUUUAAAGGUGAAAGAAUAAAGCGGAAAAUAUAAUUUGUAAACACAAACCAGGCUUACAGAAAAAUGAAAAGAGCAAAAAAUUUAAUUUAAAAUAUUAAAAAAAUUUCAAUUUAAAAUAUUCAAUUAAAACUUCUGCAAAGCAGUAAACUGCAACAAAAGUACUAAAGAGCGCUGCACUAACGCCAGAGAAUCGUCAAAGCAAGGCUAGUAAAAGUAGCAAAAAGUGCACCAAAGGCUUAUGAAAAGUUGCCUAAAUACUAAAAUUAUAUUCAAAGCCUAUUCGUUAAUAAACAAAUAAUUUUUUUUUAUUCACACAAACUACUUUAAAUGCAUGAAUUUUAAACAUAUUUUUGUGUGACUCAAAGUAAAGAUCUCAGUAUUUCAGCGCACACGCACACAGGCACAUACAUAAACGCGUUAAAAUCGCUACGGCAAUAUUUGAAAAAAUCAACGAAACUACUAAAAAGCUUAUCCAACAGAUCUUCCUUUAAGUAAGCACAAAAAAAACAAUUUUUGCUCGUUAAAAAACACACCAAUUCUUCACAGAGUAAACCAAACUCAAAUACAAAAUAAUAUUAAAUCAAUCUCAGUUUGCUAGCAACCUACUAUUAAAUAUAAUGCAAAUUCUUUAAAUCCAACGGUCACAAAUUUUCAACUAAAUGCGCAGAAGAAAGAAAAUAUUUUUCAAAAUAUUGAUGAACUUCCACUUACAAAAUGGCUACCAAACUGGGGAAAACUUAGCCGAACAGUGAAAUGUGGUGUUGUAGUGCGCGAGCGGCGAGUUUGGAGACUUCUAUGACGACCUAUGUGGGAAUGUGAGAAGAGAAAUACAGUUAAUUUAAAUGUGGAUUUUUAAAUACAUAAAAGCAGCAAUAACAACUUCAUCGCAACUGUGAAAGAUCAAACAGUGACUAAAAAUCGACCCUCGCUUGCAUUGAAACGGCAAGCAAUUGGGAUUUGACCAAAAAGUGCGUAAAACAACUAUUUAUUACACUAAGAAAGGAAAUAGAAUAAUAGCAAAUAAAAAAAAAUAAAAAUUUAAAAGAAUACAAAUUUAAGCAAAAAAUAAUUGGCAAAAUAUAAAAAAAAAAUACAAAAAUAAAAAAUAAUUGGCAAAAUAUUAGCUUAACAAUAAAAAAAUAAAACAACAAACAUUUUUUAUAAGUAUUCAAAACCAUAUAAGUAUGUAAAAACAUAUAAAUACAGAUGGAUUAGUGGAACUAACAGUGUAAUGAAAGCAUACAACUUCAGCAACCAGCGAGAUAUUAAGCGGAGUAGACGGAUUAUAUAUUGAAAAGUGACAAAACUAGUGCUGCUACAAAAAAAAAAAAAAAAAAAAAAAAUAAUAA